rnacentral:misc_RNA from 1 species
GAUGAAGAACGUAGCAAAAUGCGAUAAGUAAUGUGAAUUGCAGAAUUCAGUGAAUCAUCGAAUCUUUGAACGCACAUUGCGCCCGCCAGUAUUCUAGUGGGCAUGCCUGUUCGAGCGUCAUUUCAACCCUUAAGCCUAGCUUAGUAUUGGGAAUCGACUUUACUGUCGUUCCUCAAAUUCAACGGCGGAUUUAUAGCAAUCUCUGAACGUAGUAAUUUUUUUUCUCGUUUUUGAAAUACUAUAAACCUCAGCCGCUAAACCCCCAAUUUCUUAUGGUUGACCUCGGAUCAGGUAGGAAUACCCGCUGAACUUAAGCAUAUCAAUAAGCGGAGGA